rnacentral:tRNA from 1 species
GGUAAAUGUAAAUAGCGGACUGUAAUUCCGUUUUAAGGGUUUAAUCUCCUAUUUAUCA